GAUGAACGCUGGCGGCGUGCUUAACACAUGCAAGUCGAACGAUGAUCCGGUGCUUGCACCGGGGAUUAGUGGCGAACGGGUGAGUAACACGUGAGUAACCUGCCCUUGACUCUGGGAUAAGCCUGGGAAACUGGGUCUAAUACCGGAUAUGACUCCUCAUCGCAUGGUGGGGGGUGGAAAGCUUUUGCGGUUUUGGAUGGACUCGCGGCCUAUCAGCUUGUUGGUGAGGUAAUGGCUUACCAAGGCGACGACGGGUAGCCGGCCUGAGAGGGUGACCGGCCACACUGGGACUGAGACACGGCCCAGACUCCUACGGGAGGCAGCAGUGGGGAAUAUUGCACAAUGGGCGCAAGCCUGAUGCAGCGACGCCGCGUGAGGGAUGACGGCCUUCGGGUUGUAAACCUCUUUCAGUAGGGAAGAAGCGAAAGUGACGGUACCUGCAGAAGAAGCGCCGGCUAACUACGUGCCAGCAGCCGCCGUAAAAC
rnacentral:rRNA from 1 species